GGGCGUAGGGCUUUUAUCCAUCGGGAUGAAAACCCGGAGGUCGCGGGUUCGAAUCCCGCCGGGCCCGCCA
rnacentral:tRNA from 1 species